rnacentral:lncRNA from 1 species
CUUAAACUGAAAUAUUUUCUGAAACUACCUGUCACAGAAUAUACAGAGCAACAAGAUGUACAAAUUCAAGUAUAUUAUUUUACUGGGACCUUUUCCAGCAAAAUAUUAUUACAGAUGCAUUAAAGCACUUUCAUUUCAUGGAUGCCAAAAUUAUGACUCCAAAGCUGUCCCUUAUAAUAUUCCAAGUCAACUUCAGUUAGUGGUAAGUUUUUCUACAGUCAAAUGCAAUCACUAUUGUGUCAUAGCCACCUCCCAUAGCUUCUUAAGUCAUUUCAUGGAUUUCCACAUUGAAUACAUCAGCCUUAUACAAAAUUCAAAAUUCAUGCUCAGCCAUAUGUUACUGUGUACUAGCUUUACAAUGAGCUAUCUCUGCUGUUUUUGGUGUCACUUCUGGAAAAGCUAAAGUUUAUAUUAAAUUCAUGUUAAUAACCUCGUAUAGCAAACACUAGGUUAUUGCUAUAUUAACAUAUUAAUAGGGCAACUAUUAAUAAUACUAAUUGCUAUAUUAAUAAAUUGUUUAUACUAGAUGCCAUUCCUGGCAUUUUAUGUAUCAUUGCAAUGGUGAGAGAUGAUUUUUGAUAUUUUUAUGCUCAUCUUGCUCUGUUAUAAUUCUGGAUAUAAUUCUAUAUGGCUUCAGAAAUCUUUGGGUAAUUGCUAUGUUUGCUCUGCUUAUCUUCUAUGUCAUUUUGAAACUGAGAACGUUCUUUUUUAGUUUUACUUUUUUAAUGCCAUGUAAUUCAAGUAAAGCAACAACCUUGCACAGAGUAAUAGUUUUCCCUUGCAGGAUUGUGGAAUAUGUGUAACAGUGUUCUUGUUACAGAGGUGUCAAAUCCCUGUAGCAGGAAUGAUGUAGAAUAUCAAUCUUCAUGGAUGUGUUGCAGAUUCAUGAUCUUUUGUUUUAUUGAAUGACUUCAUAAUUCCUACUUUUCUAUUAACAACAUCAUAAACAGCUUACUUGAGACUGAACUCAUUCAGAAACUUCCUUACUACUGUACAUAGUAUGCACUUCUCCAAAUAACAAGUAACAUAUCAGCUAUGACAAUGCAGUGUGAUCAAUGUCAAAUACAAUUAAAGGAUGGAUUUUGAAAAACAACAGAGACUUGCUAACAUCACCUCUUUUCUAAAGUCUUGACAUAUACAACACAUUAAUUUGGUAAUUUAAUGUAUAGUAAGUUAGGCUAGUUGCCCUACACUAAAGCCAAUACAUGUGUUGUGGGAUUAAACUUGAUUAUACAAAGUAAUUUGAUAUAAAUGAUAACAUUACUUUAUUGCAAAACAGCAUUGUAAGAAAUCAUGAAUAAUGCAGGUUACUCUAACUUAAGUAUAAAUCAUUUAGGGCUAUAAGUUAUACUUUGUGAUACUUGUAAGAGCCAAGAGUAAGAUCACUUAUAACUCUAUGCUUGCAGUUGUUGGACAUGAUGGAGAAAUGACAGAUAUAGUUAUGAGAAAGGUUGUAACUGAUGUAGGUCUUUAAUUAGGAGGAGUUCACUAUUUUAUUGUACAGGCUGCAUCUUGUUUCUUUGGGUAGGCACUUAUUUCUAGAGUGCCUAAUAAGGCUACAAAAGAUACCCCUAAGUCAUAAAAUAGCUGUGGUUGUACGAUUUGAGUCAGUUAUCUCUGCUUCCUCUUCAAGGUGGGCAUAAGUUUGAUUGCUAUGUUGGUUGGGAAGUCCCUCAACUGGUUUUGUGUAAUUUCUAGUAUUUUUGGCCAGUUGAAAUGUGGUUUCUAAAUAAGGAGAUGUGGUUUCUAAGUGAGAAGCCUUGGCAAAUGCAUUUUGAACAUAUGCCAUUAACAAAGGUGUCCCUAACAUAGUCGAUCUGGGACUUUUCAGCUGUCAAGGGUUGAAAGUUUCAGUCUUGGCUUAAAAGUUUGAAGUUCCAUAAGUAUUGGUCUAAAGAUUCAUUGAUGAUUUUUUGUUUCUGAUUUUUUUGAGAAGUUUUCAUAUUUCAGUUUGACAUAUAUACUUUGAAAUAUGUCAAUAGUGACCUCAUGGGUAGAUUUGGGUAUACAUUUGAAAACGAGUGGCAAGAUAUAAUUAAUUAGCACAUAAAGUUUGUUGAAUUUCUUGUCUUCAAUAGCUGAUAGACCAAUAUCACAAUUUUUGGGCCAUGUUGUUAGUGUUCUGGUCAGUGUUGAAAAUAUCCUGUUUUAGAAUCUUAUCCAUUGGAGUAAAUUAAAUUGAAACAGGUUUAGGCUAGAAUGAAAAUACCUUUUAAUUUACUUCAAACAACUAAUGAUAUUCCCCCAAACACGAAAUACAUAACAUAAUGCAAAGUAGCAAACAGCAUGAUAACUACAUGGAAGUAAUUUGAAUAAUACAGAGUUGUGGUGACAAUAUAAUGAAAUAAUACAACAUUAAAAAAGCACUAAAGUACAAAAUAAUUUUCAUAUUUAAAUUUUAUACCUUUAUUACUAUAUUUUUUGGUGUUAGAUAUGUUUGACCAGAUGUAGUUAAGAGAUUGUAUGUCAAACAAUUCAUUGGCUCAUUGAACAUCGCUUUCAGAUAAGGUCUGCUGAUACUAUUGUUCACAAAUGCAUAUUUAUUUAGAACAAUGUAGUUUGAGAAACCUAAAUGCAUAUUUACUUAGAACACUGUAGCUAGAGAAACCUGUUUUUUCUCUGUCAAUAGAACGCUCUCAUUAUUAACUGAUUGUAUCAACUGAAUACAUAUACACAUAUUCAAACAAACUAUGUAUGCAAAGAGAUUAAAUAAUUCAAUGACACUAUCUGCUUGAAAAACAAUGAGUAAGUUAUUGCUAGCAUUAUUUAAUACAAAGGUAUUGAAAAGCUAACUUGAUAAAAAAAUGUGGUGAGAGGAAAAAUAACAAGUACAUUAUUAGUCAAUGACUAAUAUCUUAUUAUAUUAAUAUUAUUCGAUCUCUUUCUUUACAUCUUCAAUGUACAAUAUUGUAUAUUUACUUAAUCAUUUAUCAAUAUUUGAGUAAGUACAUCAAAGGCUAUGAUUUACUGAUGAGGUCAAAAAAAAAGACCAAAAUAUGGCAUGAGUUAUUGCUCUUCCUUGCCAGAAAAUGAAAACAUUAGGCAUUGACUUUACCUAUCUGUUUGUCUGUCUAAUUUUUUCUCACUACAUAUUCAUCUCAAGUUAAACUGUUAAUGCCCUAAACAUCAUUUAAGCACAGUCUUACCUAUUGCUUUCAUGUUGAUGACAUCUCUCACUUUCUCUAUUUCUAAACAAUUCUAUUUUCUAUACCAAUAACUGACUGCCUUGUUACUUGGCAAAAUAUGGUGAAGACUGUUUUUGCUGAAGAGAUCUGAGUAAGCUAAAACAUUUGGACUUGUCUCACCUGGCAUAAUCUCUGAACAGUUCUAUUUUCUUACACCAAUAAAUGUACUGUCUUGUUAUUUUUAAUUCAUAACUACUUUGGCAAAUAUAUUGGAAGCAAUGUUUCACUGAUGAAGCCUGAUUAUUUUUAAACAUGUCUGGAUUUGUUACCUGUACUUCCUGAGAAAAUCAAAACUAUUUAAUUUUAGAUUGCCAUACAUUUUUUUUAUUCUUGCAUAUCUAUUUCUAGUUAGGUUUUUAAUGCUCCCAGCAUUAACCCCAUGACAAUGGUUAUUUUUUUUUAUCAAGCAACUUGGUUGCAUUGAUAGUAAUCACACACACUGGCAUAUCACAUUGUGAACAAUGGUGUCUACUUUCCCUUUUACUUCACAUACUGUGCAUAUCCUUGAAACGUUUAUCUUCUUGACGUUAAGGGGAAACAGUCUUGGAAAAUGUCCAUGUCUCUUCACCAUGCAGUGAAGAGAGAGUCUGGUGUGGGGAUGUCCACGCAUUCUGUACUUUUGGCAGGUUUGAUGCUUCUAUCAUUUCAUGGAGCUACAGAGUCCUGAAUGACAAUCCAUCCCCCACACCGCCAAGCAUCUGCCAAAUCAAACACAAGUUCAUGACACACAUCAACUAUAUACAAGAAAAUUUCUUUGUACCAUUUCACAAAUUUUCUCACUGAUUUGUGUGUCAUCGCCAGCUGAUCUGAGCAAUCAACCCCUGCCCAUCCCUUCAUUGUAUGAAACAACUACACUAGGUUUCAUUAUGACAUUAUUCCACAUCUUCUUUUCUAGUGUCCUUCAUGCUUGCAGAAUGCAUUGUGGAUAACAUGCAGACGUUUUUCAUGUCAUGCCACACUAGAAUAAAAAUGCUGGUGCAUUGGUAUGCUGUUUCUCCCUUUUGAUGUUUUAUCUUGUGAAGAUUGGGUGGCAUGUUUUUCCUAUGUGUCCUCACAGUCCCAUAGGCAUUAGUCCUCCUUGCUUCAGCUGCAGGAAGAAGUCUGGACUGGAAAACCAGUCAUUCAUAUAAAUAUUGUAGCCUUUGUCAAACAAGUUUUCAUUCUGUGACAAUACAUCAGUUGACACUAGAGUAGACACUGGAAGAUCCAAUCUGUCCUGACAAGUGUAGAUUUUGUAAUUCCAUGUGUACCCACAGGCUCAGCCAGUUGACUUGGCAUACUUUAUAAACCUUAACUCCAGAGCAGGCAUGUUUGGUCAGGUUGUAUUGUUUGAAUCAGAGCCUUCCCUUGAAUUUCCACAAACUCUCAUCUGUAUAAAUGUCCUGUGUGGGGACAUACACUGUUCUGAAACUUUCAGCUACUUCAUCAAUGAUAGGGCGUAUUUUGUGCAGCCUGUCAUCCUGGUUCUCACCCAAGUUGAAAUGUACAUUUCGAAGAAGCACCAAAAAUUGAUCAUGUGACAUCUUUUCUGGAAAGAAAGGUGUCAAUGUGGCUGGAUCCUGAUUCCAAUAUGACACCAGGGUUGGUUUCUUUACGAUGCCCAUUAGUAUCAGAAGAACUUUGAUUUUGUCCCCUGUGGUUGGAAACCAAUCAUUGCCAUGCCCAGGUCUGACAUGCUGGGGGUGGUUUUCAGCAUAGUCAUUCAUUUCAUUCACUAUAUAUUGGAACAUUUCAUCUGUCAAAAACUUGUGAAAGAUUUCCAAUGGCGAACUUCCAUGUCCAAGGUUUGCUUUUAUGCCAGGCAUACUAGUAAAUCCAUGCCAUCAGAUGAAAUUGCCUCUCGUUCGUCACAUGACAUUCUGUUGUCCAGGGCCAUUCACUGUACCUUUGAUUAACCAGAAUAUCAUCAUCGCUAUUGAAAUCAUCUGAUUCUGAAUUAGGAAAAUACUCACUCUCUGGGUCAUCGUCUGAACCGGAAGAAACAACUGGUGAGGUAGUGGACCUUGGUGUGAUGAUCAUAAAUUCAAUGAAACAGGGUGUGACGAGGAAGUUGAUGGAGUCAAAGUGGUAGGGUGCGAUAACCAUAAAUUCAACUAAAGGGGACACGACAACAAAGUUGAUGGAGCUGGAGUGGUAGGACACCAUGACCAUAAAUUUGACUAAACAGGACACGAUAACAAAGUUGACAGUCGGAGUGGCAUGACCAGCCUAUCAGGUUGUAAAUAUUUUCAUCUAAUCGGCCUAUUUGUUGGCAGAUGGACCACUAAUAUGGCAAUAGGUUCUCAGUCAGGCAGUGUAUAAUUAUGUCAACCAAUUUAAAGCAUGUACGUUGCAUGUGUAAAUUUAUGUCAACCAUUUUAAAAGGGUUAAAUAUGUUAAGACUAAGUAAUGCAUAUAUAAUACUUUGUAGUUUACAUUUUCUUUUGAUAUGUAUAAUACCUUUAAGAAUAAUCCUGAAAAAAAUUCAUCUUUGAAAUAAAUUAUAUUGAACAAAUAAUAAAGUAAAUUUAACAUAUUAUAAAAAGAAAACGUUUAAAUGCUAUAAUGUUAUAAACCAGAAAUUGUGAAAUAGCAAGGACUAAUAUAAAACUAUAUCAAUAGUACAUCCAAAAUAUUCACAUCCUAUUUAUACACACCUUCACUUAGGUUUUGCACUUUUCACUAUCAUGUUAGUCUGUUGAUUUUCAAUUUUAUGAUUUGAAUUUUGAUUAGCAUCAACAUAAUGGACAUAACACUUUCAGACAUUUAAAAAUAAUUUUAUUCUAAACACAUACAUUCCCAUGUAGAAUGGGAAAAGAAGAUGAAUUGGUAGAAUCAGUAAAACAGUGGGCAAAAUGCUUCAUAGUAUUUAAUUGCACCUUUUAUGUUCUCGUCAAAUUCCACCAGAGUAAACUUUACCUUUUAUCCUUCCAGGAUAAAUACCGUUCAAGUACUGGAAUUAGUAUAAUUGACUACUUUAUGUUUAUGUAUAAAACUAUUAUUCUUUCCUUCACUCAAGUGAUCUACUGGUUUUCUUCCUCAUUGUUUCUUCACACGUUGCCCCCCCUUCUCUCUCUCUCUCUCUCUCUUUUUCAAAAUUCAGUCAGGGAAUCAUCAAAAAUUAUACAUAGAAUGUCCAAGAUGGAAAAAAGAUAAUCAGACGGAUGUAAAAGGUAUGUUAAUUUUUAAAAAAUUUUAUCUACAGUUUAAUAAAUGCAUACUUCAAUACAUAUUUAUUUUUCAUAUAUAAUCUAAUUUUUUUAAAAAAUGACCCGAAAGGUUAUCAUCGGAUCUCCUGUAACUUUCAUAACACUGUUGUACAAAUGGAAUGUAGAAAGUAUAUUGAUAGUAAGAGAAAUAAUGGUAAAGAUUCCAAUAGUUUUUCUCUCAUUGUAGUUUUCCAUGUUGUGAGUUUAACUUGAUCUUCAAAUGAAUUAAGCUCAUCACCGCAGUGAUCCCUCACUGCAUCAUCAUCAUCAUUUUCACAUUUACUCUUCCAUGGGUCAAAUGGAAUUUAUUGAAGUAGGUUUUCUAUGGCCAAUUGCCAUUCCUGUCACCAACCCUCACCUGUAAAGUAAUAUUUUUCCAUGACCAGACAUGUUUUCCCAGAAGAUUGGAAAUAGACACCUUUUGCAUAAUGGUGACACAUACAACUAUCACGCAAUAUCAAGGUAUAGAGUCAGUAUUCCCCCCCCACACACACAUGUAUCUAUCUGUCUAUCUAUCUAUCUAUCUAUCAAUAUAUAUAUAUAUACACACAAGGGCUUCUUUCAGUUCACAUCUCCAAAAUCCACUCAAAAAGCUUCAAUCAGCCUAAAGUUGUACAAGAUACUUGCCCAAGAUACAACUAAGUGGGACUGAACCUGAAGCCAUAUGGGUAGGAAGCAAACAUUCUAUUACACAGCCAUGUCACCACUUCAUAAUUCAUAACAUUGCAUUAUACAGUUUGCUGGAUUAAACAAUUUAAAUUGAAAAGGUCAAAUAAAUGUAUACUGUUCUAGAAAGCCAAGUGUAAAUAAUUAAUCAAUGAAAGAACAAAAGCAUUAGUCAGUGUUUAAUAUUAUUUUUACCUUUUCCUGCAGUUAUGAAUUAUUUAAUUACCUAAUUUCUAAGUAAUUCCAUUUUCCAAUGCCAGCAAACAUACAAUCUUGUAUAUUUACUUAGUAAUUCUUUUAUCACAAUUUGAAUAAGUAUGGUAAUAUAUGUUUUAUUGAUGAGGUAAGAAUAAGACUGAAACAGUCUUGAAUUGUCUCUUAAACUCGCUAAAAAAGAUUAAAAUAAUAUUCAUAAAUAUUAUUUUUUCCUCAUUGCAUAAUUAUCUCUAGUUAGUUUUAUAAUGCUCCUGACAUUAGAUAUGUUAACAUUAACUUAUGUAUUAAAACUGAAGUUUGUCUUUGACAGGACAAGAAUUAAAUAUUGGUAACAGGUUUUGACUACAGGCCUACAGGCCAGUAUCUUAUCAAUUCUACCACCACUCUUUUUUCAGGUUUUAGUUUUUCUUUGCUUAAGAGUCAUGUCUCAUAAAUAAUGGCUAAGGAGGAUAGUAUCAAAGGUGUCAUUUUUAAUUUGUCAUGAUAAAUUAAAUUAAUUAUUUCAUAUUAUUUUUUGCUUCUAUCCUAAGAAAUGCCAUAAAGAAUCCUAAAGUGUAAUAUUUUAACACUUUUCUUUUCUGUACCAAAUAUUUGUGACUUUAAAGAAAAAAUCUUCGACAUUUCUGCUGUCAACAUUACAUUCCAUGAAGAAUAUCUAGCUUGUCACAUUCGUGUAAUUGUAUAGCUGAGUUUUUUAUAUAUAUAGUCCAAACGUAGAAUUUUAGUUACAUGUAGUCAGAGGUCCUGUAAGUGAGUUCAGUUUUUAUUGAUGAAGAGGGGCAUUGAUCAUAUAUUAGUUGGCUCUUGGUUUACAGUGUUGAUAAUAUCUUGUAUACCAUAAAAUUAAUCACGUUUACAAAUUGUUUUUUUUUUAACAUUUUAAUUAAACUGAUAAUGCAUUUCAGAAAGACAUGAAUGUUAGCUUCACUUUUACUCAUCCUUAAAACCUAUGGUUUUAUGUUUGUGUUGUAAAUUAGAAUUAAUUGUAGGAAAUGAAUUUUCAGUCUUUGAUCCAGUAUUAAAUUCAUUAUUCAUUCAGCCAUAGACUGAAGUUUGCAAUAACUACCAUGCACUUUCAUUGUGCAGCUAUUUAAAGUUACAAUGAAGUUGCCUUUUGUUAAGUGGAAUGUAGGAGAGGCUGAAAACUGAAUAGGGCUUGAACAAAAGAAACAAAUUACCCCACUUUUUAAGAUCACCAUAACAUUGUCUCUAACAUUCUCAGGAUGUCUGGCAAUUAUUUAGGGAAAUUGUAGACUGUAGAAUUACAUGUCCAGCCUAGAGACAUCAAAAUGCUUGUUGACCUGUAAGUUGAUAGUUCACUAUUUUGUCUGCUCAGAAGAUAAAUCUGACAGCUUUGCUUAAGAUGAAAUUUGAUUUCAAAAUUUUAUAAUUUUGAUAUUCUGUGGAUAAUAAUAGCAGUGAUAGAUUAUUUUGUGAAUAGUGUUAGUGAGAAUUUCUCUCUCUUUGCUUUUAGAAAGUUGUGAAAAAUCAUUUUAGGUCCUCAACUAAAGUUAACCAUAUUCCUAAGUAAAAAAAUGCAUUAUUACAUUAUCUUGGUCAUAAAAAAUUGUUAUAUAGGUAAUAUCAUAAUAGUAUAGUUGAAGAAGUUUCUCAUUAUCUUUUAAUUACCUCCUGUAAGAACAUAACAUUUUACUAGAUUAAAUGGUUAACAAAUUUUCAGUGAAUUUUUAAAGUAUAAAUGUUAUCUAAAUAAUCAGAUAAUAAUCAAUAAUACCAAGGUAACCCUCCAACUAAACAAACUAAUUUCUGAGUGCAGAACUAUUGCCUAUUAACCAAUUAAAUGUCAAUAUUAUCAGCUAGAAGCUGUUAAACUGUCAGCAUAACCAAGUACUUUUAACCAGCUGUUCAGCUAUCUUUCCCAGCAGCAAUACUGGAUUAUAAAGAUAUUGCAGAUUUCAUAUUUAUACAGUGUAUUUAAGGUAAAUUACCUUAGUAGAGCUUAACAAUAUCCAAGUUAAACACACAAUAGUUGAGUUCUACAAACUAACAAAAUACUUGGUAAUUUUACAGUUCUUGCAAAUAACAAUAGGUUGCUCCUCUCCUGUAAUAUCUAUUUACAUCAGGGCAGAGAAGGAGUUUUGAGAUGCUAAAUAUUUUGGCUAUGGACAUAAUAUGGAGCUUGGAUAUGAAACAUUGGCCUCUCAGUUGGUUGUCUUAUAACUUAUGAACUCACCCAGCUACAUAUCUUAGUAAUCAAUUUAAUAGUAGAGAAAAAUGCUACAAUAUCUGAGUGGAAGAGGAAUCAGCUUUUUAACUUAGUUCAUGCUUUGUUACUAGAACUGUGCUACAUCCUAGACCAAAAUGUUGCUGUAGAUUAAAUAAUUAACUCCUUUAACUAAAGUAAGCAAGAAUUCUACAUUAUAUUUUGUACUGAUUGAAAAUUAGAUCUUGUAUAUCAAGAUGAAAUUGUGUCAAGUAGUAAAAAAGAAUUAUCCGUCUUGCCACUUGCUUCAGUCAAAAUUUGACUGUUAACAAAGCAAAAGUUGUCCACAAUCUUGCCUUCUAUCAGAGUUGAAACAGUUUAAAUCAGCAGUUCACUUUCUUUCUCUGUUUAUCUUUACAGCUACUAAAAAUGUAAUAUCAUAGCCACAAUUUUGCUGUGCCUUUUAUCUGUUGUGCCUAGUUACAUAUGGAUGCAGCUACAACCUAAAUUUGUCUUAAAAGCAGACUAUCUUUGCAUUCUAAAAGCUAAUAUUACCAUCUUUUCUAAAUUGUCCAUAAAUAUGGUUCUUUUUUUACUUUUUCAUUAUAUAUUUCUAAAUUUUCAAUUUUUUAAUAAACUGAGUUAUACCUUCACAGAUUUGUAAUAAAAUUAGCUUGAUCUCAAUAGAUGUGUAACUUGCUUUUCUAAAUGGUGCGUUUUAAUUAAAAUCAUACUAUUGUAGCAGUUACAUAAUUGAAUUUAAUUACUCUAGGGCAUAAUAAGCAAAAAUGAGUUUUCAGAUGACUCCAUUUUAUACUAAGAGAUUUUUUGGCAAAUGAAAUCAAUAUAUAAUUAAUUGGCUCCAGGGAAAGAUCAGAGACUGUAGGCAAUAGCUUCAUAAAAUACAAAUAAAAUUUUAUUGGCAGCUUCUGAAGACAGUAGUUUCGAGUUUCUUUUGAAGGUAGUCAUACAAGGUAUAAUAUCACAGUUUAAUAUAUUGGAUUUGUGUCUUUUCAAACUCUUACAUUUAUUAUUAAAAAAAUAUAUUUCCUGUCUGGCUAAUUCUCUCGCAGAACUUGUUCUUAUUGAGUUUUCCCUUAUAUAUAUCUAUUAUAUAGUUUACUAUAUAGAAUUCUUCAAACAAUCUUUAAUAUACUUUGCAUUACAUUGUUAUUGUUAAAACCUUCAAAAUUUUAUUCAGAUAAUGCAAAAUUAUUCUAGGUCAUUAAAAAUGUUUUGCUUUCCUUAUUUCCUAUGUUAGAGAAUACAUAACAAAUACACUUUGUUUCCUUUGCCAACAUUCUUUUCACCAGUAUUAUUUUUUUUUAAAUGUAGUCCUAUUCAUACAUUUUCUGAUAUAUGUAAUGCCAUUGAUGUGGGAGAACUAUAUAUGAGCAGACAAUUUUUCUUUUAUAAUUUAUCAACAAAUAACACUUGUUCAAAGUAAACCAUUUUGUUUACAUUAAUUAUAGAUAUGAACCAAAAAAUAUAGAGAAAGUAGAAAAGCACUCCUUUUUUUCUUUCUCUUUAUUUUGCAAACUCUUCUGUCCAUCUGUCUAUGCAUCUAUUUAUUUACCUAAUAAUAGGUGGUGUACAUUCACAUAUUGGAAAGCAAAUGUAAAAAGAUGAUAAUGAUGGCUAUCCACAUAAAUGAAUAUGGUCAUCACUGAUAACUAGAACUAUCCAGCAGUGACUCUAUUACAAACAUGAUACACAAAUGUGUUUCUUUAGUUUGGAUACAUCCCAGAUCAUGGCUGUAAAUUUUUAUGUUAAGUAAGAUCGAAUUUACUUUUGCAUACCUUUCCAAAUUCUUCCACAAAUAUGAGAGACUCUACUCGCAUACUUUUUGUUAUUUAGUAAAAUGAAACUCCUCUCUGACUUUCACUACAUGACUUGUCUUAUCACCAGCUUAAGAAAAACCAGCAGAAAGUGGAGAUUCCUCCACUAACUUCCUCCUUCAGGCAGCUAGUCGCAUUUUUGUUUACUGGAUCUUUUAACUCUCAAAUAAAAUAACCCAAAACUAUCAUUCUUCAACAAACUCUAUUACAUAGUUUUAGAAUUCCAGUUUUCUAUUGAGAUAUUGAAGGCAGUCAUCGAAGUUAAAUUCUUUAAAGUGUACAAGGCUGUGUUGUAGGCAUUUGCCUCCUACCUUUGGAGAUUUUAGAGGUUUACUAAGAAGUAAUUGAUCAUCAUUUCAACUAUUAGAUGUUUUGGUAGGUUGCAUAAGUACUUUCAAUGGUAUUCUUAGAAUAACGGAAUUGGUACCUUCUUAACUAAUAGUUUUAAAAUUCUAAUUAGUCUUUCUGAUUUAUCUUAUUUGUUCCUAGCAUUUUGUUUUCUAGGGAGCUUAUUAACAUCUAAGUGACAUAAAUUGAAUCUAAAAUCAACACUUUGUCAUCUUUCUUGAUAGAAGACUGACUGUCCAUAUUUAAAUUUCUUUCUAUUAAGACACCCAAUAAGCUUCAAAUCUUCAAAUUUGUUUAUAAUGGAGGAAAUGUAAGAAAUAUAAGAGUAAUACUUCUUUUUCUCAGAUACUUGUUUUAUUAAGUAAAGAUCACAAAUUGUUCUUUUUCAAAAAAGCAUUCAUUUUCUUGGAAAUUUUAAAUUCUAUUGGUCAGUUGGUUAAAAUCUGAUAUUAGUUACAGAUUGGAAAUGGACGCUUAUAUGACAGUGACAUUCAAUUUUAACUAUUGCAUAAUGUUAAGAUAAGGAGACCCCCACACACACAUGUGUGUGUGUAUGCAACAGGCUUCUUUCAGUUUCUAACUAUUAAAUCUACUGUAGAAUACUACCUCAAUAAGUCUCUGCAACCCAUGCCAAAUAUAUUUUGAAGUAGUUUGCAGUGCAUGUUGUUUUUGUUUUAUUAAUAUAUACACUUAUACGCAAGCUAUAUGUAUGUACAUAUACAGACAUGAAUGUGUCUCUUUUUUCUUCAUGCAACAUACCUACAAUCAUCAGUGAUCAUAGACUUCUAUGGCAAAGUCUUAAGAUUCAUGAUUUUUCUUGAGGAAGCAACAGCAAUUGAUUGCCGUUACCUUCUGCCAGUUUAUUUACAAUUUAUUUUUGCACAGGCCCUAUUUAACUCUCUGUUUCAUGUGACAUCAGAAACACACCAAUAGGUCUGUGUGACAUGUAUCUAGGAGUGAACCCUUUCCUCAGUCCUGUAUGCCUAAGCCACAUGACCAACUUUUUCUCUUUGACUCACAACGAGGGCCUUGAUAGGUACUGCUGUCCUGGGAAGCAUGGCAACUAAGGGGGCACCUCCAUACCCCCCAAAAUGCCUGGAUUCCCAAGCUGGAACCUCAUCAUCUGAAGCAGUUCAAUGUUUACUCAUUUUUCUUUGCUUCAAUACAUCUUACAUAGUAGUUAAGCUGGUAUAACUUUUCUAUCUAGUUUUAUUAAAUGGCUAUAUUAACCAGUCAUUACACUCUGACAACCAACUACAAAUUUGGUUUACUACUAUAAUUCUGUAAUGAAAUACAGCCUGUACCCAUUUAUAAUGUUUAAUCAAGAUCAAAGGUCUCUCUACAGUUUAAGUAAGACCAGAAGGAAAUUACCUCAUUAUUUUCAGAAUGUGAAACAAGCAAAUUAAGGAGAAAAAGAAAAGAGCAAUGACAAUAACUGAAUCUAUCUAUCUAUCUGUCUACUUUUUCCUUUCUUUAAAUAAUUGUUGCAUCUCAAUGAAUCACUCACUCACUACAACAUUGUACUUGAAUUUUACCUCUUCCAUUAAUAUCACAUAGUUAAAAAUAUUAUCACAAAAUCUCCAGUACAAGAAAGUAUGUCAACACCUAUCUGCUUCUGUUCUUGUAUAAAUUACAUUCAUACACUAAACUACAGUUCAAAAUCUUAUUUCACACAAACACAUACAAUAAUUAUAAUUAGGAAAAGGUGAAACUUUUUAGUUACCAAUGCUAUCCUUUCCUGUUGCUCUUCUGAACUUAACUUCAUAGCCACAAGCCAGCAAGAUUUUUUUUACUUAUACUGAGGUCAAUAUGAUCACCUUAAAUGCUUAAAAGCAGUAUCCCAGCAUGGACACUGCCUAAUGAUCAAAACCAGUAAAAGAAUUACUAAAAUCCAUUAUUAUAAUCUGAGCGUGAUUGUUGCCAGAGCGGCUAUCUGGCUUCUGUGCUGGUGUCACGUAAAAGGCACCGUUCGAGUGUGAUCUUUACAGGAUCACCUUACUGGCACGUGAAAAACAUUCAAGCAAAGUUGUUGCCAGUACCGCCUGACUGGCCCCCGUGCCGCUGGCACGUAAAAGCACCCACUACACUCUCGAAGUGGUUGGUGUUAGGAAGAGCAUCCAGCAGUAGAAACUGCCAGAUCAAGAUUGGAACCUGGUGCAGUAUUCAGUUAAAUCGUCCAACCCAUGCUAGCAUGGAAAGCGGACAUUAAAUGAUGAUGAUGAUGAUGAUAAACUGCGCCCUAUCUAACACAUAAAGGACAAGAAAACAAAGAAGCCUCUAUAUGGUUAUUCAACCUGCUAGAAAUAUCAACCAAACCCUCCUCAAUUUCCAUCCAUCUUUUAAAAAGGGUACAUUGGACAAUGUAAUCCUGGAUGCACUGUCUAACAAAAAGAAUAGUCAGAGUUGGGGCACCAUUGAUCAUAAGCCUGCUUGAUCAGUGUUAACCUCAGGCAAAACAACUUCAAACCACUUGCAACCCAACCUUACUAAAUGCACAUAUGGAUCAUCUUCUGGUCAUUUCACCCUGACUUUUCUCCACCUGAGUUUUCUAAACUACAUCUUUUAAAACUACUUUUCUAUCCCUGCAACAUUUUAACUUAUACAUUAACAACUUUAGCUUCCAAUUUCAUCAUCCUUAUAAUUAAAAAAAUAAUUACAUGGACAUUGUCUGUCUCACUCAAAAACGAUUGUUUUAUCAAAGAUUUCUUAGAAACUGGAAGUAUUGCAGGAUGAAAAUUAUUUUAGCCAUUAAAAUGACAAAACUGUUAAAUUCAAUUUAUUUCCUUAUUGUAUUCUGAGAUGUGCCACAAAACAAAAAUUUCUUUGUUCAGCAAUCUCUAACAAAAUUAUAUAUAUAUAUAUAUAUAUAUCAUCAUCAUUGUUUAAUGUCCACUUUCUAUGCUAGUAUGGGUUGGACGAUUUGACUGAGGACUGGUGAACCAGAUGGCUGCACCAGGCUCCAAUCUGAUCUGACAGAGUUUCUACAGCUGGAUGCCCUUCCUAACGCCAACCACUCUGAGAGUGUAGGACACUAUAUAUAUAUAUAUAUAUAUAUAUAUAAUAAUAAUAAUAAUAAUAUUAGGGAGUAAAUUAUGGAAUUUACAGGUAAGUUAGAACUGCUAUUUUGGAAUUCAUCUUUGAAGGAUAUUCCAAUACUCUCUAGAAUUAAUUAAUUUUAUUUCUAUGUAUUGGUUUAUGAUUUUCACCGUUUGAUUUGCCUAAUAGUGGUUUUAUCUCUAAUUUAAUAUAAUAUAUAUAUAAUUAAAGCAACAGAAGUGGUAUCAAUACCAAAUGGUAAAAUUUAUCACCACUUAAAUGUAGAUGCUGAGUUAGAACACAGAAUACUGCAAUAUUUGCCAUCAGAGAAUCUCUCAUGAUUUUGUGGUACAUAUAAGCACUCUUAUUUAUACUGCUAGCAGGGGACAAUCACUGCCAAUGCUGCUACCAGAUCAUGUGAUUUCAGUCUUUUUUUCAUGGCCUUCUCUCAUGGCAAAUAUCACAGUAUUGUGUGUUCUAACACAACAUCCACUUUUAAGUGGUGAUAAAUGUUACCUUUUGGUAUUAAUAUUGCUUUUGUAGCUUUAAUUAUUUUUUAAUAAGCCAACUGGCUUUUAGCAACACCAGUGCUUGAUUGGCACUGUGAUCCAGCAUAUAUUGCUAGCGGGAUGGAUACUUCUAUUUCCAGUAAUCAGGUAUCUACCAUUUAGAAGGCCAAAAUCAUGUGAUCUGUUAAUCCUGGCAGUGAUUGUCUCCCACUAGCACUAUAAACAAGUGUGCUUACAUGCACCUCAAAACCAUAUGAGAAUUUUUUAUUUCUUUACUGCCCACAAGGGGCUAAACACAUAGGGGACAAACAAGGACAGACAAACGGAGUAAGUUGAUUACAUCGACCCCAGUACGUAACUGGUACUUAUUUAAUUGACCCCAAAAGGAUGAAAGGCAUAGUCGACAUUGGCGGAAUUUGAACUCAGAACAUAACGGCAGGUGAAAUACUGCAAAGCAUUUCGCCCGGCGUGCUAACAUUUCUGCCAGCUCGCUGCCUUAUCCAUAUGAGAGUUUCUCUCAGUAAAUAUUGCUAACAACAUCCACUUUUAAGUGGUGGUAAAUUUUACUUUUUGAUUAUAUAUAUAUAUAUAUAUAUAUAUAUAUAUAUAUAUGUGUGUGUGUGUGAAAAACAGAGAGAGGGGGCGAGUCAAAGACAGACAGAAAGAAUAUCAACUGCAAAGUAUCUCACUGCCAAUACUGGAACAUUAUUAACAGCACAUUAGACUUCACCAAUGCUUCAGCCAUUUAAGUACUGUAAAUCGCUAUUUAGCUGUCCUGUACUGCAUUGGGGUGUCCUACUCAGUACCUCACCUAGAGUUGCUAAUUCAUUUCUGUGCUAUCCAACAAGAACCAGGCUCUGCUCUGCUUCCCAACAAAUCCAUCUCAUCUAUCUGUAUUCCUGGCUUUAGUUUGUUACUAAGAUGCUGCAUCAAUUAUGUUUUCUAUUAUAUUUAGUUGUUAAUAUAGUUUCCAUGUCUACAGUUUUGCAGCUAAUCAGUAAAAUGUAAGAAUAUUUGUUGUUAUUGUUUUUUUUUUCAUCUAUUAUUGUUUAAUUUUUUUAAUAUUCUUAUUAUCAUCAAAUGUAAUGCUUUGAAGUUUCGAGAUUUCAAUGACGUGACUAUUUUUAGAAUGACAUUGUAGCAUAGAUGUGAGAGGCCAGAUCUGGUCAGUUUGAAGAUAAAACAGUUAGAAUAUAUGGGUCAGAUAUAGCUGGCUUAAAUGCUAGUGUUAAACCCAGGUCAGUCCUGAUUGAGUGACUUAUGAUCAGCAAUGAUCUUGUCAUAACUUUACCAUCUUAUUUUUAAAUAAUAUAUCUAGUACUACUGUAUCCAACAUAUCUUGUAUUCUUUAAGACGAGUGCAAUUUGAGGGGUAUUUGGCUGCUAUUUCUAGCAGGCUGGAGAACUAUUUGGAGCCUUCUCUUUUAGGCUCUGUUCUUUUCCUAUCUACCUUGUUUUUUUGUUGUGCAAGAUAAGAUAUUAAACCAGUACUUUGUUGUAGAUGCAUAGUCAGACAGCAAUAAAGUAUGUUAUUUGGUUGUCCAACUUUAAUGGUUCCAUAUGGUUAUUUGAAGUUUUGCUUAGUGGCUUGCAGGUUUGUUGUUAAUGAAAAGACAUUUAAAUUUCCUAUUUUUGUAAUAUAUUAAUGCUUGUUUGAGAUUAGAUUUAAUGUUUGUCAUGUUCUGUUUUUUGAAGUCUUUUUAUGUCUAUCUGUUAUGUAGUCUAGAUGAUUUUUGGUUCAUAUAAACAUUGUCUACAUAGUUUGUUUUUUAUUAGACAUAAUAUCUGUUCUAUUUACUAUAAUAAACUUGUUUCUGUUUUUGUAAUUAUUGAUGCAAUAACAUUUAUUAAUAUUUUAGUACAUACUGAUGUAAUAUAUGUAUUAUUGUUUAAUAAUAAUAAUGAGUGUGUUAUAUACAAUGCUCAAGUGCACUACAAGUUGUCAGAAAAGGAUAAAAAGAGAGGACAGAAAGCAGCAGUAAUAGCCAAAAAUUACAUGCCUUCUGCAUAAUAUAAAACACAAAACAACAAAGGUGAACAGUAAAUGGGUCAUAAAGAGAAAGGGUGCACCGACACAUCAGGGGUAAUGUUAGCAAAUUUCAGAAAGUAUGGAGUUUUUUAAGGAUGUAGUGUCCUGACAGUUAAGAACAAAUGUAGAUAGUAUAUUCCAUACUUUGACAAUUCUGAGUGGGAUUUUAUAAGCAUGUAUGGCAGAUGUUGAAUUCAAAAUGGUGAUCAAAAUUAUUGGAAAAGAUGGUGAGGAAUCUUGCAAGUUUUACUAAGUCAGCUGCUAGAUAUUGAAGCCCUGAGAUGCAAGAUGUUUAAGAUAUGCUAGGUGACUGAGGGAAGGUAUGUCUCUGAACAGCAUCAUCAUCAUUUAAUGUCCUUUUUUUUUCAUGCUGGCAUGGUUGGACAGUUUAACAGGAGCUGGUAAUGCAGGGGCUGCACCAGACUCCAUUGUCUGUUCUGGCAUGGUUUCUAUGGCUCAUUGCCCUUCUUAAAACCAACCACUUUACAGUGUGUAAUGAGUAAUUUUAAUAUGGCACCAGCACCAGUGCUUUUAAUGUGGUACCAGCACAACUAAUAUUCUGGACAAGAUGAGGGUUCAGGACUUGAGAUGAAAACUGUAAGUGUAGAUGUACUACAGCCAUUUACAGCUUUAAAUAGACAACCAGUGAUUGAUUGGCAAAGUUCUUACUGCAUGAUGUUACAUUUAUACCUGAGAAUGAGUUUGCUGAGCUAUUGGAAUCUUUAGUUAUGUUGGAUGUAGGCAUUUUCCAAGAUGGCUAAGCUAUAUGAAAUUGCUUUAAAAAAAUGCUAUUCUAGUAAACAAAAUCAGAUAUUCAAAUAGCUUAUUUGAUUAAAUAAUGUCAUUAAAAAGGAGAAAUGUAUAUAGUUAGGUUUUUGUAUGUGCCCAUGCACAUUACACACACAUACACGUGUGUAUGUAUGUAUAUGCAAAAGAUAUGAUUUUACUUACCAUAAUAGUAAAUUUUUUUGCAAUUUAUACGUUUUAUCCAUCUUUAUAUAUAUAUUUACACUUUCUUCAUUAUUCAGUGGAGAGCAGUUAAAAAUAUCCUCUGAGGCUAAAUGCUAAUUCAAACUAUCUGAACUAUAUAGUCUAGACUUAUAUAGCUUUGAAUUUCUCAUAUUUUCUAUCAUUAAAUUGUUACUCAUCUACCAUGUUUCUUCAAACUACCUUAAAUUUAUUCCUGCUGUGUGAAUUGUAAUCAGUAUUAACUGAAAAAAAAUAUUUUACUUUUGUAAUAUACAUGUUGCUAGCUGUUUAGAAAUUUCAGAAAUCUUUAGUUUUUUUCUUGGUCACGUAAAGUGGUAUUUUCUAUUUUUAGCUAUAAAUUUGGUUUCAAAUCAAUAAGUUUACUUAUCAAGGUAAUUUUUAUUAUUGAAAAAUCAAUUUUUUUGCAGGGUUUUAAGUUUACAUUUUGAUCAGCCAGAUCAAAUCAUAUACAAGCUGUGCACUUUGAACCUCUCUGUAAAUACACUAUCCCCUUUUUUCCCUCCCAUAUACACUUUAACCCACACCUCUUCUUCAUAUGCAGUGGGAUUUAGCAUUUACUUAUUCAAACCUUUGACUGAAUUCCAAGACAAUCUAGCUUUCUUCUUUUAUUGUCAUACACAUGGGUUUAUCAAACAUUCUCUACUAUUAACUUUUCUUUGUUUAUAAACGAUUCAUCAUAUCCUUGAAUAGCCCAUCUUAACACAUAAUGAUGUUUCCUUUUCUUCUUUGUUGAUGACUUGUCACAUGACAGAUGAUUAUAAAGCUAAUCCUGUUGUCAAUGAUUAGAUAUUCGACAAAUGAGAUUGUUGUUGAUUCCUUGUCUUGAUGUUGUCAUUGGUGACAUUCUUUUUUUUUCUCCCUUGAGGUCAUACAUCUUUCUCAAAGUGGGAGAUACACUCUGAAGUGAUUCCAUACUGAGACAACUAUUCAGUUGUGAGUCAGGAAGUUUGCAGCAUGCCUUCAUUGCUUUUUUAAUGUGCUCUUUGUACCUCACUUUUACAACACACAGAAUUGUUUUCAAGAUAGCCCGUAAGAGAUCUCGUCCCUCCAUAUUACCCCCAAAAGUAUUGGAGGGAGUGGAUGUAAAAUAAAUCAAGAAUCUUGACAUGUCAAUGAUAGAGUCCAAGUUUCACAGCCACUCAAAAAAAUUCAAAUGCAAACUACUCUAUAUUCCCAGCGUUGUGUGCAGUCAGAGGCCCUAAUUAUAAAAUAGUUCUUUUAUAAUGCCGAGGAAGAAAACGUGGAGUUUUGAAUUUCUUCAUAUACAUGUUCCCAAACUGACAACGAUACUUCCAAGUGAUGUGAUGUGCAUUUUGAAGCAAAGUAUCAUCAAUGAACAAUUGCACAGAAUUUGUUUUUCCUCAGGUACUUGCAGCAUUGACUUCAGUUUUUUUUUUUCUUUUUAACAAUUAAUUUUUAAUUCUGACACAUUGGUAAGUAUUUGAUGCUGAUAUUAUACUAUUCUAAAGCAAUUGUAGCUGAUAUGGAACAGCAGCUGAAUCACCCAUAUACUGGAGUUCAAACAGUGUUUUGAACCUUACUUUAACUCUACGGAGAUUACUAAAAACACCAUCUGAACAAUAACAGAUUCGAAUACCAUCAACUGAAUUGAUAUCUACUUGUGAGAAGAGUGGCAAUGAAUUAUAAACAUGUUGAAGGGCACAGAGACAAGAACACAAACUUGCUUCACUCUAACAUUAGCAUCAAAUGUUUUGGAUUCUUUCAAAUAUUAUCCAAGUUCACAUCCUUUCUUGAAACUGUCACAGAAGUCAGAGGAAUUUUGGUGGAUAACCACAUCCCUGUAAAACACAUCACAAAAUAUUUCUGUUGACUAUGAGAAGCUUUGGUAAGGUCUAUAAAGGCAAAGUACAUAUCUCAUUGUCAUUUUCAAUGAUUCAUGACAAAGAGACAAGAAAUGAAUAUAUCAGCUGUGUUUUGACUCAAAACUUACAGUGAAACUUUAGAAAAUCUCUGAACAGUGUUGAAAAAUUUUCCCCUCUAAUUCCAAGAUUUUUUUCUGCCACAUCAAAAAAAAAAGAGAUAUAUCUUGACUGUUUCUAAUAUCAGCUCUCUCUUAUAUACAGCGACACUGUUAGUGCAUUUCCAACAUAAAAGAAUUAUAGAGUUCUUUUAACAUAUAGUAAUAAUUUCAUUAAUUCUGGUUACUAAACUUACACUGCCAUAUUUGUAAAUUUCAUUUGGAAUAUUAUGUGUCAGGGAAUUUUCAGUUUUCCAGGUUUUGAAUUGCUGUCUGUAUUUCAUUUAGUAUUGGAUCAAAGAAAAUUUCAAGGAGUUUUUCACUUGUAGAUUGUUGGUAGAAUUACCCCAUAUUGAAUAGGAAACAGAAGUGCUCACCUCAUCAUUCAAGAAUUUACCCCUCAUUUUUUAUUAAGAUUUGUUCAUUAUAAGAGUAUAAAAGUGUACCAAGUCAACUGUGCACAGCUAAGGUCCAUUUACUGUUUUAAGCACAUUGUAGAACUUGUUCUUUAUUAGUGAUUGGGUUACAUAUGACAUAGUCUGUCAAUUUCAUUUUGUAACAUGUUGUAACAUGUUUUGUAUCAACAUUUGGUACAAGUUCUGGAGUAUUAAGAUUUUCCACCAUGCUAAUUUUGAGAAAUUGUAUUUUGUAACACAUUAUUAGAAUCUUGCUUCUUUUUUCAGCAAUUAUCCUUUGUGCAUGCAAUUUUAGAUAAUUUAGUACUCUAGUAAUAUUUUGCUAGGAUAGUUUACAACCUAUUAUUGUUUUGUUGAUUUUUCAAAUGUUUUAUUGCUUCCCCACUACUUUACUUUUAAGAAUAUAUGGCUCUAAACCUUCUUCUGGUCUUUCUUAUCCCAGAGUGUACAUAAUGUUAAAUCUCUUCUAAUGGAAUACUAAUAUAGUCCCUUCACAUAUUGUCCAUCUUUCCUCAGUUCAUGUUCUAUAUAUCAGCAUGUUAUUAUUUUUGUCUUCAAUGAAACUAUUCUCUAUUUAGCCCAUCUUUGGCAAUUUGGUAUGUCCAUUUCCAUCUGAUUUCUGUUAAACCCUUCUUGCAGGGUUCUAGAAAGGUUUCAAUGCUUGUAAAACAGAUAAUUGAAAUGAAAACCAAGGUCUGGAGAGGAGCACUGUAAAAGUGUGACAUUUCAUAGUAAUUGAUUGGAACACUGAGACAACUAUGCAAGAAAAGUAUUUGGUGCAGUUCUGGAAGACAAGGAAAUAAUGCAAAGAUGAAGCAAAUGUUGAACUGGGACAAAGCUGCUGCCUAUUAUAACCAGGACUUUUCAACAUAUUUCUUGAACAAAUCCUGACUGGUACCCAAGAAGAUUCUGAAGGCACAGGAUUGGCAGAAGAUUAAUUGCACCCUUAAGAUUUCCAGACAAUGUUGAUCUGUUAGCCUGUCCUAAAAGUGAAUUAUUUGAUAUUAGGAGAUUAGAUAUUUAUUCAAGAAAUAUGGUGAGGAGAAUUUGGGUUAUGGGGAUGAAAGAACUGAGAUACAGACGUGAAUUGAAAUAGAACAAUUAGCGAUCAAAGAUCUGGAACAGCAAAAACAUUACAAUGAGUAACAAGCUAUGGCUAAUACAAUCUAUGAUAAGUGCAAUUGUUUUGUAUGGAUGGGAGACAUAGACAUGCUCAAAUAGCAUGGAGAACCCAUGCCAGCAUGGAAAAUAGAUGCUAAAUAAUGACAACGAUGAAAUUGUCAGUAUUCAAGAUGAGGUGCUUUCAGAAUUGUUGGCAUUACUUAACAGGAAUCGCAGACAAACCAGUCAGUCUUAGAAUAACUUAAUGCAUUAAUUAGGUAAAAAGAAAGACUGACAGAAAUAGCAUGUCAAAGAAAAAUGCAGUAUUUCAGUCACAAUAGUAAAAUGACUAGGUUGCUUGCAAAUAUAAUCAUGUCUGGAAAAAUAGAUGGCAAAAGGAAAGACUAGCUCAAUGAUAUUCAGAUAUGAACUGGAAUAAGAACAUCAGAUUGCAUAAAAACAGCCCAAAAUCAAGAAUGAUGGAAAAGGUUAAGAAAAGAUAUUCAAAGACCUCAAUAGUGAAUAUAUGGUAAUGUUUUGACUUGAUUUGACUAAUAUUUUGAUUAGCUAAUGAAGCAGUGUUAAAGUGUUUCAUGUGCUGAAUGUAGAAUGAACUGAAAUGCACAUUUUUUAACAUAUCAUCUGAUAAUCCAUCAAGCAUCGAGCCCUCUACAUGGUCUAAAUCAUUAGACUGUCCUGAAAGUCCCUUUAUCAAAUAAUAAUGUAACCAAAAGAUGAUCACUUCUUAUAUCAAUCUGCCUCCACAAUGUUUUGUACAUAUAUUCUUGAUAAAAUGUUUGUGAUAUACAAUUUAUUCUCUGAGUAGAAAGUGAGAAAACACAGGUAAUUUUAGAUCAUUUUACUAACCCUUUGUUUAUUUAUUGAAUUGAAGUCACCAAAAUGAGUUUUCAAAGUUGGCUCUGUAAAACUUAUCUUUUACCUUUCUGUUGGUACUUAAGGUUGAUUCCUAAAAACUGUAGAUAGUUAUAAACUUGGUUCUUAGACAGAAGAAUAUGUAAUGUUGUUAUACAUUCAUUUAUUCCUAGAGGGGUAUCAAGGAGGGUGUGAAAAAUUAGGUUCUUGAUUGUAUUGUUAACACCAUGAAUUGCUGGUAGAUUAGUUCACCAUUUAAAAAAUAGUGUAACUACUGCAAUUUAUCUGGCUUUCAUAGUUUCAGGACUGCUGAAAGAUAUGACUGAGAUCAGCUUCUGAGUCAUGUGAAAUCAGAGCAAGCAUUCUUUUAGCCCACAUUUACUAGGUCCCUUUAUAUGUGCUAUCCUUAAAUAAAGUUGUUUACCACAUAGGUAUGACUGGAAGAUGUCUUUGCUCUGAGGACAGAAUUCAAUGACCAUUUAGUCCAUGUGUAUUAUAUUGUAGGACAAUUUCCAACCAAUGUCCUGAGCCUGAUCCUAUUGUGAGCAUUCCAUCAACAAAGGACUUUAUGUAGAUAAUCGGAAGAGCCUGCACAAUGAGCUGUUUGAGGUAUUGAAGCUGGGCAAGCUUCAGCAUAGAAUUGAACUCCUAAUAACUGUUCUCAAAAUGAUAGGUAUCUCAUGUUUGUUGGAGUGAGCUGCUAGACACCUUAUAUAUUGAGGUACACUUUGAAGUUAUUAUUUUGUGUCAAAAUAGAUCUGUAAGCCAGUCCACCUGGCCCACUGAUACUCAUUGUAAGAGCCAUAUGGCUAAGACUGUGAGGCAUUGAUAUACUUGCUACAUGAACCACAGACAUAUUUCUAUUCUUGCACCACCUUGCAAACAUUUCAGGUAAGGGAGUUCUAUUGAGUGUCAGAAAUUGGAGCUGAUUAUAUUUGCCUGUAUUUUCAACCUUAUAUCCAUUUUGUUUUUACAGAACAUGUCAUCAUAAUGUCAUAGUAAAAGAAAACUUGCUAAUGUAUUUAAAAAACAAAAUCACUGUAUAAAAUCUUCUUAAUUUCUAUAACUUUCACACAUGUUAUGUUAGUCUUACAUUCACAUACAAACCAGAUUAUGAAUUAUUAUUAAUGUCUCUUUUACCACUCUUGAACUCAACAAUACUGUAAUUUUAUCUCUCUAACAUAAUUCCUUUGCUUCUUUUACAAAUUCCCCAUACACCCAGCCUUCAAAAAUGAUUUGUUUUAUACAUUUAUUAAAUCUGUUGUUCUAUCAUUUACCUCUUAACUCUUUCAUAGCAAUAUUUUUAUCUCUAUACAUCUUUUAUCUUUUACUUGUUUCAGUCAUUGAACUGUGGCCAUGUUGAUGCACUGACUUGAAGGGUUUAGUCAAAUAAAUUGACCUUGGUACUUAUCUAUGAGUUUGGUACUUUUCACUGAAAUUAUUUAUAGGGAUGUAAACCAACAUCAGUUGUAAAAAAAAACACAUACAGAUAUAUAUGAUGAGUGUCUUUCAGUCUAACAAAUUCAGUUACAAAGCUUUGGUGGUCAGCCCAAGGCUAUAGUAGAAGACAUUUGUCCAACGUGCCACACAGUGGAACUGAACCCAAAACCAAAUCAAGAACUUGGAUGGCUGUAGUAAAAUAACAAACUUUAUCAUUAUUAAGUUGGUGCCUGGAAUGUAGCAUAAAAUUAUAAUGGAAUAUGAACAUUAUAGGUUCACAUAGUAAAAUGAACAGUCCUGUCAGAAACAGAGGCAAUCUCAGGUGGGUUGGUUUCUGUAUUGAUUGUAACUAUCUGAGGUAUAGUCAUUUGAUAGCUUUCUUUCAGUAAGAAUUAAUGAUUUGUUCUUAGCUUUGACUUAAUAUUUUUGAACUCCAUUUGUUAUUUUCUUCUUUUUGUUUCUUUAACUACUUUAUUUUAACCGACCUUCAAAACUUGCACUUUACGAAUUGAGAUAAAAAUUUAUAUUUAAUUUUAAAAUAUUUGAACAAGAAUGUUACUUCUUAACCUUUAUUGAUCAUAAUUUCUUAUCAUAGUAUGUUCCAUGUUUAUCCAAUUUAACAUUGUCAUGAAGUUCACAACUUAAAUGUGUGCAUGUGAAAAUAACUAUAAUAUACUUUGCAAACUAUUUUAUUAUAAUAAACAUUUAACAUACUUUUAGGAAAUUAUUCUCUGAUAAGGGUUAAGUUUCCUUGAUACUGGAGCUAUUAUAUUUCUUGUGUUUUGUAAAAUUUAAUUUUAUUAGUCAACCUUAAAUUGGAAAGGUUAUAUUUAGCCCAUCUUUAAUCCGAAAGGUUAUAUUUAGAUAUUUUAAUAAAAUAUAUUUUUGUUCUCUUCUCUAAAAAUAUCACACACAUACACUCAAAUACAUUAAAAAUAUUUAAUUCAUAUCUCAGAUGAAAAUAAAAAAAAUAAAUUACUGGAAUGCAAUGAAUUUAAGUUUGUGUAACAUAUCAAAUCUAAUAAUAUAACCAUAACUGCUAUCAGCGCAUUUGUGUGUUCUGUAACUGUUAAAUGUCAACAGCUAUUGAUAUAAAUUGUUUUCCUUAGUGGAAUAUGAAUUUCUCUUUAUGUUAGUCUACAUUUAUAUAGUAACUAUAAACAACAUACAAAGAGAACUUCAUAUACUUUUGAACUCUAAUUUAAGUACAAUAAUUGAAAUUCAACCUGCCAUGAUCUCUAGGGAUAACAUUCUGCAGUUUAAUAAUUUAUGAAUCUGCACCACUACAUUUACCCAGAAGCAUAUAUUUUGGAUACUAAUUAAAUUACAAUAGAAACUUUUUCAAUUAUGUAUAGAGCAUUUAAUGAAAGUAUUUUCUAUUUCAGUCUUAACUGGCAUAGUUUUUCAUAAUAGAUUCUGUAAGGACAACUACUCUAAUAUCUAUGAAAAUCUCACUAAGUUUAUUUUAAGAUGGUAUAAAGAUAGCUACUUUGAAGGUAAACUCAUCUUUAAAAACUACCUCUGGUAUAUUGUCCAUUUAUAUAUCUUCUCUGUGCCACUUGUGUUGCUACUAGACUGUUCUUCAAAACUUUUUGCAUAACUUGUAUUUUGACUGUCUCAUUCAAACGUACAUUUCCUAUUCCAUCUUGGAACUCUCUUCGUAAAAUCUAUACAAAACACUUUAUCAUGCAGUAGCAAUGAUCCGGAAUUGCCUUUCUCACAUUAAACCCUAUGACAUUGAUUAUAUUUACAUCUUACACCUCUAGUCCAUAACAAGAUUGUUUGAUUUCAAAGGACUUACUUUAUAGAUAUAUUUUACAUAACCAAGGUGGCUAUGCAUACAAGUAAGAAUGAUACACAAUUUUAUUCAUGUCUUCUUAACUCAAUAUCAUAAAAACCUCACAUAAUUCUUUGAACUUACUAGCAAUAUUUUUUUAGCCUUACCAAUUGCUCAAAAAGAAUAUCUCUAACUUAUGUAAGUCCUUCAUUAUUUCCAACUAGCAAUUGCAAUAUAUUCUUUAAAUAGCUUCCGUAUCAAUUUCUAUCACUUUUUCCUAUGUUCUCCUCCUGUUAUAUAUCCUUGUGCUAAGUUAACUUUCAAUUCUGUUCACUUUUAUUUUAACCUUCACUUUGUAGGGUUGAUUAUUUAACCCAAAGAACAUGGUUUUGGAUAUGUUUGUAUUGUCAAAGGGGAAGAGGAAUCUAACAUCUCAGGACUGACCAUUCAUUUGUGAGAAAAUAAAUUUUCCAACUAGUUGAUAAAUUUAUUUUGUACCAAAUGAAGUGUCAGCCCUGAAAUGAUAUAUUCCCACCUCUGCCCAUGACAUAAACUUAUUCAAAGUCAUGUACUUCAUUUCAAAAGUUUUGUCAAUGCAGACCACCACCAGUUACUUUGGACUUUAUUAUGCAUUUAAACUAAAGUAAUUUUUGAUACCUACAUAUAUGUCUUUUCAUUAAAAAAUGCUUAUUUAGAUCCAUUUCUAGUAUUUUUAUCUCAAGUAUAAUUAUGACAAAUUUGGGAAAAAAACCCACCUUCAUCCAUUAACAUACUGAAGCUAUUUAUCAUCUUGUCUGAUUUAUAUCUAUGUCCCCACACAUAUGGACUCCAUGUCCACAUACUGAAAUCCCAGGCAACAUUUGACAACUGACUUUGUUUUAUUUAAUGUGUAUUCUAUCAUGAAAAAGAAAGGCUUUCUAGCAAUUCCAAUUUACUAAAAAAUUUGAACUUUUUAGCUAAUAUCCGUUUUAAAGUUCAAAGAUUCAUUGAAUAUUAAAAUGAAAUCUUGUUCUUUUGUGAAUAGGUAUACAUUUUUCUUAUCAAAUCUAUAGUUUACAUUUGAUCCGCUUAAACAAUAUGUUACUCUUUUACUUGUUUCAGUCAUUUGACUGUGGCCAUGCUGGAGCACCGCCUAUAGUCGAGCAAAUCAACCCCAGAUUUAUUCUUUGGAAGCCUAGUACUUAUUCUAUCGGUCUCUUUUGCUGAACUACUAAGUCAUGGGGAUGUAAACACACCAGCAUCAGUUGUCAAGUGAUGUUGGGAGGACAAACACAGACACACAAACACACAUAUAUAUAUAGAUAUACAUGAUGGGUUUCUUUCAGUUUCUGUCGACCAAAUCCACUCACAAGGCUUUGGUUGGCCCGAGGUUGACAAUCUAAACCUUUCUGAAGCUCUUUUUAUAGUAUAUACACUAACUUCUUAGUUGAUAUGCAUUGCAACAUUUUGCUUUUGUUAGGAAAAUGUGAGAGUUUACUGCUACUACAAAUAUAAUUAUCAAUUUAAUUAUAGGCAGUGAAGUUGAUGAACAGAAGUGCUGAAGUAAAAGAAUUUUUAUUUGUUUCACAAAAUUUACAUUCUGCCAAAGUCAAUUUUACCUUCCAGCUCCUUACGGUUGAUUAAGUAAAUACCAAUCUAUACUGAGGUCAAUUUAAUCAACUAGACCUCUGUACCCACUCCACAAACACACACACUUAAAAUAAAUGUCAUUUACAAAUAAUAAAUAGAGCCAGAAUGUAUCAGACAUUAAACAGAUAUUGAACUAGACUAUAUGCAGUAGAAAAAUAAAAUAGAUCCUUUACUGUUAACCUCCUUUGCUGUUUGUACAAGAGACAUUGGUAGAUAUGGUGAAAUAAAAUUUAGGUUAAGAGUAAUAAAUGUAUAAUUUCAAAAUUAUUCAAUUGUACAGUAACAAUUUUAUUAAUAAGUUCUUUGAUUUCUAAUUUUCCCACAUUUUAGUAUAAAAUCCACUAUUACAGUGAGUCAUUUUUGAAAUAAAAAAGGUGACCUAUAAAUUAUUCAAAAUAUCAUACAUAGCACAUGUACCUCCCACACAUGCAUAUGUACACAAAUGCACAUAUCCAGAAUUAUAUUUAUUAAAUAUUAAUUAUCACUGUUCCCUUGGUUAUUGUUCUUUCAUCUCCAAUAAAAAAAAUGUUAAUAUCAUUUUCUGUAUUCCAAUUUGAGAACAUUAUCUAAUUAACUAAAUUACUUUCCCCUUAUGUUUCCUCAAAUGUUCCUUUCAUCUAUUAAGUUCUAAUAAUAAAUUCUUCAUUCUCAUUUCAUGACAUCUGAAAACUCUGUAAACAAUAGUACAAUUAAAGCUAAAACUGCCUGUCUAAUGUCAGACACUAUACCUCCUGUACAAUUUUUUAAGGUUAAUUACUAGCCAUUGUUUUACACCUUGCAUAAAUUUCUGUUAGAACCAGUUCUAACAAUAAAUAAUGAACCAAAUUUUUAUAAGCAUCAGUUGAUGUGUUGUAAGGAUUAUUUUCUCCGUAAUUUUAUACAUUGGCCUCAAUCUGUAUUCCCUUGUUGAAUAUCAUCAUAAAACGCCUUCCUGUUCCUACCCAUCUCAAACUCUUUACGCACCUUCAACAGACAGCCUUUAUUUCUAAACAUUUAUUCUCCUUCUCGGUGCUUCUGUUAUCUUCUCAACCAUCUUUUCUUAUACCUUGAUCACAUCUUUCAGCCAAAAAAUAAUCAUAAAAAAUAUAAAAAAAAAAAAAAUGUAAAAGGAUAAAACAUUAUUGUGUCUUUGAUGAAAGCAUUGUAUUUUUGUAUCUUUGAAA